UAAGUUCUGCAUCAUUUGGAGACUUCAUUCAAAUUUUUAUUUCCAUUCCAUAUAUGGAAAGCCUUUUAACUUUACUCUUUCACACUGCGUAUUUUAUGCACCUGCUUGCUGAACAGUUUAAUAACGUAAAUACGUGAAAUGCAGAAUAUGUGAGAGAGAAUGCACAGAGGUCUUGGGUGUGGGGUCUAGGCGCAGAGGUUGCGGGUUCUGCGAACCCUCUUGUCCUGAGAGUGAGUGCACCGGGAUGGAGGUGGUCAGAUUUCACUGACGGACGGCAUUGAGAGGCGUGUCCGGUGCUCUCACCAAAGUGUUCGGGAAAGGAAAUACCGUAGUUCACAAAUAACCUUUCAGUCGUCCAGAUACCCUGGGAAACAUACCGUUGUCGGUAGGUUAACAUGGGAAAUGCUGUCACUUCGGGUAGGGCUGUGUUGGGGUUUCUCCGCAGAUGAUGUAUGUUAUAUGUAAUGAUCUGCAGUAUCGUGACUCUUUGCAACUCUGUCUUAAUUAAUGUCUUAGAUCUUGUCUUUAAAAUAAAGACAAUAUUUCAUCUCCAUCCGUUAAUGACCCGCCUUUGCCCUCUUACUGUUCUUGUUAGCAGUAUUUGAGAAUAACUAUCACUUUCUUCCAUGGAGGUUUGUUUUUAAGCAUCUCUUCGAAGUGAUAGGGUGGCGGUGGGGGUGCUGCUGCUGCUGGUUGGCGCUCUGACCCGAGGAGCACAGGUGUUUCGUACGUAAGUGUGUCACCUGCAGCCAUUCUUCAGCAGUGUGUUUAUUUUGACAUUUGUCCUCUCUGAUGCAGUUUCUGAUAAGCUCAGAAGCUUGGAUUGUAACUCCCUUAGCUCUUAUUUUUGAUAAAGUGACUUAACAUGGCUUAUGUGAAUCCAAGACAUUAAAAAACAACAACAAAACUUACUGGUUGUUUAGUAUUUAGUAAAAGGUGAAAGAUUUAUAUGAUCUGAAGAGAAACCAGAGUAUGGUUGUCUAGGAUUUAGUAACUGGUUAAUGUGGUUCUGUAACGUGAAUUUGAAUGUUUAGUUGGUAGAAUUCAAAACUCUAUAAUAUUUAGUGUUCUUCACUUAGCAAGUGCCUCAGUUUGCUAGCUGCUCUCCACAGCAAACAAACAACACCCCACCCCCGUCUCCAAUCCAAAGCUGUUGACUUCAAAGAGCUUACAUUCUAAAUGUCUCUUAGACUAAUCUACUUAAGGAGAACAUUAGAAGUACUGUUUCAUAACCUUCUGACUCUCCCUCCAAAGAAGUGCGUCUGAGAGUGAUCCAGUCUGCAUGUCCCUUUACCCAUUUCAGCCCCAGCACAGUGCUCCCUUGCUGGAGGGGCCGCAGGUUGCAUAGCUUGUGCAUGAGCAAGGCCUCGCCCCGGGAGGGGCGUCUCUGAGCCCUGCUAAUGCGACCCAAGCCUUUGUGGCUUUACUCCGCCAACUUUGUGCAUACGGGAUCCUUUGACUCUUACUGCUCUUUGCAGUGUUCUACUUUGUCGCUGCCUUUCUGUUAGU